UAGGGAGGCAGCAGUGGGGAAUAUUGCACAAUGGGCGAAAGCCUGAUGCAGCUAUGCCGCGUGUAUGAAGAAGGCCUUAGGGUUGUAAAGUACUUUCAUCGGGGAGGAAAAACAAAACUAAUAAUUUUAUUUCUUGACGUUACCCGAAAAAGAAGCACCGGCUAACUCCGUGCCAGCAGCCGCGGUAAUACGGAGGGUGCUAGCGUUAAUCAGAAUUACUGGGCGUAAAGAGCACGUAGGUGGUUUUUUUAAGUCAGAUGUGAAAUCCCUGGGCUUAACCUGGAACUGCAUUUUGAAACUGAAAUACUAGAGUAUCGUAGAGGGAGGUAGAAUUCUAGGUGUAGCGGUGAAAUGCGUAGAUAUCUGGAGGAAUACCUGUGGCGAAAGCGGCCUCCUAAACGAAUACUGACACUGAGGUGCGAAAGCGUGGGGAGCAAACAGGGAUUAGAUACC
rnacentral:rRNA from 1 species